rnacentral:rRNA from 1 species
GAUGAACGCGGGCGGCGUGCCUAACACAUGCAAGUCGAGCGAGGGUUUGCUCAGUGUUGAGUAUUCUAAGUCUAGAAUGUUCAAUUCUGAGCAAAACCAAGCGGCGGACGGGUGAGUAACGCGUGGGUAACCUGCCCUAUACACAUGGAUAACAUACUGAAAAGUUUACUAAUACAUGAUAAUAUAUAUUUGUGGCAUCGCAGAUAUAUCAAAGUGUUAGCGGUAUAGGAUGGACCCGCGUCUGAUUAGCUAGUUGGUGAGAUAACUGCCCACCAAGGCGACGAUCAGUAGCCGACCUGAGAGGGUGAUCGGCCACAUUGGAACUGAGACACGGUCCAAACUCCUACGGGAGGCAGCAGUGGGGAAUAUUGCACAAUGGGCGAAAGCCUGAUGCAGCAACGCCGCGUGAACGAUGAAGGUCUUCGGAUCGUAAAGUUCUGUUGCAGGGGAAGAUAAUGACGGUACCCUGUGAGGAAGCCCCGGCUAACUGCGUGCCAGCAGCCGCGGUAAUACGUAGGGGGCUAGCGUUAUCCGGAUUUACUGGGCGUAAAGGGUGCGUAGGUGGUCCUUCAAGUCGGUGGUUAAAGGCUACGGCUCAACCGUAGUAAGCCGCCGAAACUGGAGGACUUGAGUGCAGGAGAGGAAAGUGGAAUUCCCAGUGUAGCGGUGAAAUGCGUAGAUAUUGGGAGGAACACCAGUAGCGAAGGCGGCUUUCUGGACUGCAACUGACACUGAGGCACGAAAGCGUGGGUAGCAAACAGG